rnacentral:snRNA from 1 species
GUCCCUUUGGGGACAUCCGAUAAAAUUGGAAUGAUACAUAGAAGAUUAGCGUGGUCCCUACACAAGGAUGACAUGCACAAAUCGAGAAAUGGUCCAAAUUGGU